rnacentral:ncRNA from 1 species
GUGUCACAACGGCUUCCUGGCGUGACACAUGAACUUCAAUGGAGCA